rnacentral:rRNA from 1 species
AUGGACUUUAUAGUGGGAUUACCACACACUCAGCAAGGUUAUGAUUCUAUAUGGGUAAUAGUGGAUCGUCUCACUAAAGUCGCUCACUUUUUGCCUGUCAAGACUACUUAUAGCGGGGCAAGAUUGGCAGAGCUAUACAUGGAAAGAAUAGUAUGUCAGCAUGGAGUUCCUAAGAAGAUUGUGUCUGAUAGAGGUCCGCAGUUCACGUCCAUCUUUUGGCAGAAAGUGCAUAAAUCUUUGGGAACGAAGUUGAAUUUCAGUACAGCAUAUCAUCCUCAGACCGAUGGACAGUCAGAAAGGCUCAAUCAGAUUCUUGAAGAUAUG